UCCGUAGGCGGGUAAUUAAGUCAGAGGUGAAAUCCCACGGCUUAACUGUGGAACUGCCUUAGAUACUGGUUAUCUUGAGUUUUAGUGAAGUAGAUAGAAUGUGUAGUGUAGCGGUGAAAUGCAUAGAUAUUACACAGAAUACCGAUUGCGAAGGCAGUCUACUAACUAACAACUGACGCUAAUGGACGAAAGCGUGGGGAGCGAACAGGAUUAGAUACCCUGGUAGUCC
rnacentral:rRNA from 1 species